rnacentral:rRNA from 1 species
AAUAGAUACCCUGGUAGUCCACGCCGUAAACGAUGGAUACUAGCUGUUGGAGGUAUCGACCCCUUCAGUAGCGAAGCUAACGCGUUAAGUAUCCCGCCUGUGGAGUACGGUCGCAAGACUAAAACAUAAAGGAAUUGACGGGGACCCGCACAAGCGGUGGAUCAUGUUCUUUAAUUCGAUGCUAAACGAAGAACCUUACCAGGGCUUGACAUCCCGAGAAUUUCUCCGAAAGGAGAGAGUGCUUUUAGAACUCGGUGACAGAUGCUGCAUGGCCGUCGUCAGCUCGUGUCGUGAGAUGUUUGGUUAAGUCCAUCAACGAGCGCAACCCUUGUGAAUAGUUGUAUUUUUCUAUUCAGACUGCCCCGGCAACGGGGAGGAAGGAGGGGAUGAUGUCAGGUCAGUAUUACUCUUACGUCCUGGGCUAGAAACGUGAUACAAUGGCAGGUACAAUGCGCAGCGAAGCCGCGAGGUGAAGCAAAUCGNACCAAAGCCUGUCCCAGUUCGGAUUGGAGGCUGAAACUCGCCUCCAUGGAACG